rnacentral:tRNA from 1 species
GCUCCGGUAGUAUAGUCCGGUCAACUCUACGUAACAGGCCGACAGUAUAAGCUAAAUAGAUGUCUGCUGAAGCUGGCCUUUCGUGCAUCUGCAAAGAAAGCCGGCGACCCGGGUCCGAAUCCCGGCCGGAGCACCA